rnacentral:rRNA from 1 species
UACAGAGGGUGCGAGCGUUGUCCGGAAUCACUGGGCGUAAAGGGCGCGUAGGUGGCGCGACAAGUCAGUGGUGAAAGUUCGACGCUCAACGUCGAAUCGGCCACUGAUACUGUUGGGCUUGAGCACUGUAGAGGCUAAUGGAAUUCCGGGUGUAGCGGUGGAAUGCGUAGAGAUCCGGAAGAACACCGGUGGCGAAGGCGGCCUGCUGGGCAGUUUUGCUGACACUGAGGCGCGACAGCGUGGGGAGCAAACAGG